rnacentral:misc_RNA from 1 species
GAAAUGCGAUAAGUAAUGUGAAUUGCAGAAUUCAGUGAAUCAUCGAAUCUUUGAACGCACCUUGCGCUCCUUGGUAUUCCUUGGAGCAUGCCUGGUUGAGUAUCAUGAAAUCUUCAAAGUAAAUCUUUUGUUAACUCAAUUGGUUUCUACUUUGGUAUUGGAGGUCUUUGCAGCUUCACACCUGCUCCUCUUUGUUCAUUAGCUGGAUCUCAGUGUUAUGCUUGGUUCCACUCGGCGUGAUAAGUUAUCUAUCGCUGAGGACACUGUAAAAGGUGGCCAAGGUAAAUGCAGAUGAACCGCUUCUAAUAGUCCAUUGACUUGGACAAUACUUUUAUGAUCUGAUCUCAAAUCAGGUAUGACUACCCGCUGAACUUAAGC